ensembl:lncRNA
AGAUAGCAGAGUGACCUAUGAAGCCACAGUAACCAAAGCAGCAUGAUACUGACAAAGAGAUAGACAAAUAUCAACAGAAACAACUAAGAUUACAUGGCAAUUUUUUUUUUUUUACUCCCUUUUUAGUCACUAAGUCAUUACCAACUUGCCACCCCAUGGACUGUAGCCUGACAGGCUCCUCUGUCCAUGGGAUUCUCCAGGCAUGAAUCCUGGAGUGGGUUGCCAUUUCCUCUCCAGUUGACUUUAACGGUAUAAAAAAGUGAAUUGUUCCAUAGUUUUGGAACAACUAGCUUUCCAUCUGAAAAAAACUUAAGUUCCUAACCUUAUAUCACACAAAUUAAAUUCCAGGAGGAUCAAAAAGCUAAACAUUGUUUUAAAAGUUAACUCUAAGGACUCUAAAGUUUGAAGUUCAAAUUCACCUCUUAAAGAAUUAUUAUCUUAAUUUUAAAAACAUGCAAUGUCAUUUCAAAAAAAUUAUCCUUAGAAAAUAAUAUACAGGCCUUGCUACUGCAUAAUUGCAUAUUGUUCAGUUGAUAAGUCAUGUCUGACUCUUUGCACCCCCAAAAGCUGCAGCAUACCAGGCUUCCCUGUACUUCAUUACCUUCCUGAGUUUCCGUUGAGUCAGUGAUGCCUUCUAACCAUCUCAUCUUCUGUGGCCCCAUUCUUUGCUCUCAAUCUUUCCCAGCAUCAGGGACUUUUCCAUAUUAUCAUGAAUGAAAUUAUGUUUCUCAAAGAAAUGCUAUGACAUGCUCUUAAUUUACAAACACCCUUCUGAGUUUUAUGCCACAGGAAUCACACUCCACCUAAAAUCAGAAAUGUGCAUCAGGUUUCAUCUCCAUAUUAUUGUGUGAGGAGGAAAGUGAGCUAUAAGCAGCUUUCACUGCUAGCCUCCCUGAUACCUCAAGUUCCCUGGGGUAGCAUCCGCAAAAUGCUUGUUACUAAAGGGGUAAAGGAAGUUGUGCUGGUGACUAGCUUAGGCAGCAAGGAAGGAGAGAAGGAAGGAAAGGUAUCUUCAUACAAGAAUGACAAAAUCAGCCACCAGAGAAUGUAAACCUCAGCAUCCUGGUCCAGUGCUUGUUUGUUUCUGCAGCCUUGGAGCAUGCAAUCCCCUGGACUGUUGCCCAUGGGGGAACAGAAGUAAUAGUUCAUCUUUAGGACGUGAGCCUCGUCGUCUCUGACCUGGACCUCACCACUCUGGUGCAACAGCCUCCUGCAGCAGAUCAGAUGACCGAAACCUAAGGAUUCCUUCGUAAUGAAAAUUUCACACUUGAAAUUGCAUUGUGGGUAGAAAGGGUGAAAUUGGAUGCUUUCUUUUGUCAACUAGGUAUCUUUGUGGAGUGGAAAGGCGAGGGUUGGGGGAAUAUGGAAGGGAAUGAAGAGGUGCAAAUAUUAAUCUCCAAAAGUAGAUUUUGGUAAAAGAGUUUGUACUAGUUAGUCUGUGUGCCUGGCACCCACAGCCCCAGAAUUCAGUGGUCAGAGGCAGUCUAUGUUAGAACCACAUAUCAUGUCUCUUGGCUCUGCUCCCAGACUGAGCCACAAAAGAUUGGUCCAGAAACUGACCAAGUCACCACAGUCAAACAUAUGGGACAAAUCAGCAGUAUUGGAGGAGAUCUGGCUUGAGAACUCUGUGUUGGACCGCAACUAAGCAAGCCCAUCCUGCCUGGUUACAGGAGAGACUGAAUGUUAGGUGCACAGAGGGAAAGCUGGAAAGGCAGAAGCCAAGUUCAAUGCAAAAUCAGCAAAAGCCUGAGAACGAACAGCUGGCUGAGAAGCUGCAAAAUAAUGUUUCAGUGACCCAGCAGCAGCCAUGCUCACCCAGCCCAGGAGGAAUUGCAGUUCUGCACAAAGUACACUGAGGGAUUCCCUGAGUGGCUUUAUAGUAAACCUGAGGUCACCUGAUAGUGCCUUUAAUUAUUUUCAUUAUCUAUACAGCAGCCCAUGGAAUCAUCUGAAAAGAGGGCUAAGAAGGACUAUAAAAAGAUUGACCUUGGAUUUUAUUCAGAACACAAAAAGGAAAAGAUGGUAUGAGAACUACAUUCACUGUUCAAGCUCAUGGGGAAACAGCAAAAGCCUGAUAGGAGAUGAGAGUAGUGGCAGCUAUGGAGAAGAGAAGAAAGCAGACAAAAAGUCACUGUUUCAGGCAUAACCCAUACAAGACCUGUUGACAAAGACAGGUACAUAUGUGACAAGUGUCUGCCAUCUCAGUUCUGCCUACAUGCAAGGCUGGAGAGAGGAAAGAAAUGGUACACAGCAAGGAAAGAAGCUGCAAAUAGAAUAGCAAUAAAAACCUGCAAAGUGAAACAAAGACAAGUGAGAUCAGAGAGCUUAGGGUCUCCAGGACCGAGGGAAAGGGAAAGGCAGAGCCUGCUUUGGAAUCUCAGAGCUUUUGUAGAACCUCAAGCUUAGAGCACUCUUUCAUUCGUUCGAUCAGUAUUUACUGAGCCCUGACUAUGUGCCAGAUUUUGUGCUGCAUUGCGGGUAGAUAUAGAUGACAACACAGUGUCUUGGAAGACAGAAUCCAGCAAUCACAUCUCAACAUUGUAUGUGCUUCCUAUCAUUUCUGUAAUAAAUGACACCAAACAGUUGCUUGAAGCAACACAUGUUUAUUAGCUUAUAACUGUGAAGAUCAGGAGUCCAAAAUGGAUCUCACUGGGCUAAAAAUUAAAGUGUCCUCGGGGCUUUGUUACUUUCUGGAGGUUCCAGGGGAAAAUCUGUUUUCUCAUCUUUUCCAGUUGCCUGCAUCCCUGGCAGGCAGCCCCCUUCCAUCUUCGCAGCCAGCAAUGACUGAGUCUUUUUCACAUCACAUCACUCUUGACACUGACCCUUCUGAUUCCCUCUUCUCCAUUUAAAAAGGAUCAUUGUGAUUGCACUGGACUCAC